GACGAACGCUGGCGGCGUGCUUAACACAUGCAAGUCGAACGGAAAGGCCCUGCUUUUGUGGGGUGCUCGAGUGGCGAACGGGUGAGUAACACGUGAGUAACCUGCCCUUGACUUUGGGAUAUCUUCAGGAAACUGGGGCUAAUACCGGAUAGGAGCUCCUGCUGCAUGGUGGGGGUUGGAAAGUUUCGGCGGUUGGGGAUGGACUCGCGGCUUAUCAGCUUGUUGGUGGGGUAGUGGCUGACCAAGGCUUUGACGGGUAGCCGGCCUGAGAGGGUGACCGGCGACAUGGGGACUGAGAGACGGACCAGACUCGUACGGGAGGCAGCAGGGGGGAAUAUUGCACAAUGGGCGGAAGCCUGAUGCAGCAACGCCGCGUGCGGGAUGACGGCCUUCGGGUUGUAAACCGCUUUCGCCUGUGACGAAGCGUGAGUGACGGUAAUGGGUAAAGAAGCACCGGCUAACUACGUG
rnacentral:rRNA from 1 species